rnacentral:rRNA from 1 species
UACGUAGGGGGCUAGCGUUGUCCGGAAUCAUUGGGCGUAAAGAGCGUGUAGGCGGCCUGAUAAGUCGGCUGUGAAAGUCAAGGGCUCAACCCUUGAAUGCCGGCCGAUACUGUCAGGCUAGAGUCCGGAAGAGGCGAGUGGAAUUCCUGGUGUAGCGGUGAAAUGCGCAGAUAUCAGGAGGAACACCGAUGGCGAAGGCAGCUCGCUGGGACGGUACUGACGCUGAGACGCGAAAGCGUGGGGAGCGAACAGG